CCCUGAUGGAAGACCGAAACAGUUCUGACGUGCAAAUCGAUUGUCAGAAUUGAGUAUAGGGGCGAAAGACCAAUCGAACCAUCUAGUAGCUGGUUCCUUCCGAAGUUUCCUCAGGAUAGCUGGUGCAUUUUAAUGUUAUAUAAAAUAAUCUUAUCUGGUAAAGCGAAUGAUUAGAGGCCUUAGGGUCGAAACGAUCUUAACCUAUUCUCAAACUUUAAAUGGGUAAGAACCUUAACUUUCUUGAUAUGAAGUUUAAGGUUAUGAUAUAAUGUGCCCAGUGGGCCACUUUUGGUAAGCAGAACUGGCGCUGUGGGAUGAACCAAACGUAAUGUUACGGUGCCCAAAUUAACAACUCAUGCAGAUACCAUGAAAGGCGUUGGUUGCUUAAAACAGCAGGACGGUGAUCAUGGAAGUCGAAAUCCGCUAAGGAGUGUGUAACAACUCACCUGCCGAAGCACUAGCCCUUAAAAUGGAUGGCGCUUAAGUUGUAUACCUAUACAUUACCGCUAAAGUAGAUGAUUUAUAUUACUUGUAAUAUAAAUUUUGAACUUUAGUGAGUAGGAAGGUACAAUGGUAUGCGUAGAAGUGUUUGGCGUAAGCCUGCAUGGAGCUGCCAUUGGUACAGAUCUUGGUGGUAGUAGCAAAUAAUCGAAUGAGACCUUGGAGGACUGAAGUGGAGAAGGGUUUCGUGUGAACAGUGGUUGAUCACGAGUUAGUCGGUCCUAAGUUCAAGGCGAAAGCCGAAAAUUUUCAAGUAAUAAAAUGACUAUAUAUUACAAAAAUGCCAAUUAAUAUACUUGAAUAAUUUUGAACGAAGGGAAUACGGUUCCAAUUCCGUAACCUGUUGAGUAUCCGUUUGUUAUUAAAUAUGGGCCUCGUGCUCAUCUGGCAACAGGAACGACCAUAAAGAAGCCGUCGAGAGAUAUCGGAAGAGUUUUCUUUUCUGUUUUAUAGCCGUACUACCAUGGAAGUCUUUCGCAGAGAGAUAUGGUAGAUGGGCUAGAAGAGCAUGACAUAUACUGUUGUGUCGAUAUUUUCUCCUCGGACCUUGAAAUUUAUGGUGGGGAUACGCAAACUUCUCAACAGGCCGUACCAAUAUCCGCAGCUGGUCUCCAAGGUGAAGAGUCUCUAGUCGAUAGAAUAAUGUAGGUAAGGGAAGUCGGCAAAUUAGAUCCGUAACUUCGGGAUAAGGAUUGGCUCUGAAGAUUGAGAUAGUCGGGCUUGAUUGGGAAACAAUAACAUGGUUUAUGUGCUCGUUCUGGGUAAAUAGAGUUUCUAUCAUUUAUGUUAGUUGCUUGUUCCCCGGAUAGUUUAGUUACGUAGCCAAUUGUGGAACUUUCUUGCUAAAAUUUUUAAGAAUACUAGUUGGGUCAAACCAAUUAGUUCUUAUUAAUUAUAACGAUUAUCAAUUAACAAUCAAUUCAGAACUGGCACGGACUUGGGGAAUCCGACUGUCUAAUUAAAACAAAGCAUUGUGAUGGCCCUAGCGGGUGUUGACACAAUGUGAUUUCUGCCCAGUGCUCUGAAUGUCAAAGUGAAGAAAUUCAAGUAAGCGCGGGUCAACGGCGGGAGUAACUAUGACUCUCUUAAGGUAGCCAAAUGCCUCGUCAUCUAAUUAGUGACGCGCAUGAAUGGAUUAACGAGAUUCCUACUGUCCCUAUCUACUAUCUAGCGAAACCACAGCCAAGGGAACGGGCUUGGAAUAAUUAGCGGGGAAAGAAGACCCUUUUGAGCUUGACUCUAAUCUGGCAGUGUAAGGAGACAUAAGAGGUGUAGAAUAAGUGGGAGAUAUUAGACUUCGGUUUGGUAUCGACAAUGAAAUACCACUACUCUUAUUGUUUCCUUACUUACUUGAUUAAAUGGAACGUGUAUCAUUUCCUAGCCAUUAUACGGAUAUAUUUAUUAUAUCUUAUGGUAUUGGGUUUUGAUGCAAGCUUCUUGAUCAAAGUAUCACGAGUUUGUUAUAUAAUCGCAAACAAAUUCUUUAAUGAGACGAUGCAUUUAUGUAUUUUUGAUUUGAAAAUUUGGUAUAACUCCAAUUACUCAGGUAUGAUCCAAUUCAAGGACAUUGCCAGGUAGGGAGUUUGACUGGGGCGGUACAUCUCUCAAAUAAUAACGGAGGUGUCCCAAGGCCAGCUCAGUGCGGACAGAAACCACACAUAGAGCAAAAGGGCAAAUGCUGACUUGAUCUCGGUGUUCAGUACACACAGGGACAGCAAAAGCUCGGCCUAUCGAUCCUUUUGGUUUAAAGAGUUUUUAACAAGAGGUGUCAGAAAAGUUACCAUAGGGAUAACUGGCUUGUGGCGGCCAAGCGUUCAUAGCGACGUCGCUUUUUGAUCCUUCGAUGUCGGCUCUUCCUAUCAUUGUGAAGCAAAUUCACCAAGCGUUGGAUUGUUCACCCAUGCAAGGGAACGUGAGCUGGGUUUAGACCGUCGUGAGACAGGUUAGUUUUACCCUACUAAUGACAAACGUUGUUGCGACAGCAUUCCUGCGUAGUACGAGAGGAACGCAGGUACGGACCAAUGGCACAAUACUUGUUCGAGCGAACAGUGGUAUGACGCUACGUCCGUUGGAUUAUGCCUGAACGCCUCUAAGGUCGUAUCCGUGCUGGACUGCAAUGAUAAAUAAGGGGCAAUUUGCAUUGUAUGGCUUCUAAACCAUUUAAAGUUUGU
rnacentral:rRNA from 1 species